rnacentral:tRNA from 1 species
GCCGCUAUGGUGAAAUUGGUAGACACGCUGCUCUUAGGAAGCAGUGCUCAAGCAUCUCGGUUCGAAUCCGAGUGGCGGCA